CUGCGAGUUCGCGGGAGAGUAAGUUAUUGCCAGGGUUUUUAUUUUAUACUUUAAACAUUGAUUUUAUUUUUUAUGUUUUUAGAUGUUCAUGUUUUUGAAUGUUUUAUUCAAAUAAUAUAAAAAAUAAAAUAUAUAUUGACAUGGAUUAAACAAAGAUAUAUAUUAUUCUAUGUUGUAUAAAUAAAUUGGCAAAAUAGAGAUGGAAGAUAAAAAUAUGGUCAAAG
rnacentral:misc_RNA from 1 species